GAUAUCUAGACAAUACAAAUAAGUGAAUCAUCAGCUUUUCCAUAUGAGAGGCUGAAAUGGAAGAUCAAGAUCAUCCCGCGAGAAUCAGCAGGAAUGGAACAAUUGAAUAAAAAGGGAACUUAUCAGAAGAUCUAUCUAAAAUUGAAGUGAGCGUGGUCUGAGUUUGCUGGUGGAUUACAGAAGAGGUUUUGGAAAAGAAAUUGACAAAACAGCAAUCCACUUAGCAGAACAGAUAGAUAAGGCUGCAGGAACUCACCCAUGAGUUCUAGAAGAACUCGAGACUAGAUACUUGUGCUCUUAAUUCACAAUACUAUGAGAAGUCAGACACCAGUGGAAGACAGCUGGGCUAUUAUUUAAGCUUGUGGAAAAACUUUCUUGCCGUAUUCAACCUGAAGGAGGUAUGCCUCUUUGGGUGCUUAUGGGAUUGGGUUUAGAAAGAUCAGGGAAAAUUAAUGUGUCAGAAGUCUUGCUGGUUUUCCACUGCUGUUUGUCAGCCACUGAACAGACUAAUGAAGUUUAAUUUUGUUUUAUGAGAUUUUAG